rnacentral:ncRNA from 1 species
AUAAGGUCACUCGCAACGCGAGUGUUAAAAAGGGAAGUUUGGUGCGAAGCCAACGCGGUCCCGCCACUGUGAUCACUAGGAUGUGCUUGCAACCCCACUGUCGCCUUGUGCGUGACGGGAAGGGAAGGACGUCUGUGACGUGUCAGCCAGGAGACCUGCCUUAUAGU